GACGAACGCUGGCGGCGUGCUUAAUACAUGCAAGUCGAACGGAAAGACGAGGCGUUUGUGGGGUGGUCGAUAGGCGAACGGGGGAGUGAAACGUGAGGAACCUCCCCCUGACUGUGGGGGAACAUCAGGGAACUGGGGCGAAUACCGGAGAUGAUCUCCUGCUCCACGUGGGUGGAUGGUGAAAUUCGGCUGUUGGGGCUGGACUCGCGGCUUAUCCGCUUGUUGGGCGGGUAGGUGAGUACAACGGCUUUGACGGGUAGCCCGCCUUAGAGCGUGACCGGCCACCUUGGGCCUGCGAUACGGACCAGUCUCCUACGGGCGGCAGCAGUGGGGAAUAUUGCGCAAUGGGCGGACGCCUGAUGCAGCAACGCCGCGUGCGGAAUGACGGCUUUCGGGUUGUAAACAGAUUUCGAAUGUGCCGAAGAGUGCGUGACGGUACUGGGUCAAGAAGCCCCGGCUAACUACGUG
rnacentral:rRNA from 1 species